GACGGGGGAUGCGAGCGUUAUCCGGAAUGAUUGGGCGUAGAGCGUCCGCAGGGGGCAGUUCAAGUCUGCUGUCAAAGACCGGGGCUUAACUUCGGAAAGGCAGUGGAAACUGAACAGCUAGAGUAUGGUAGGGGCAGAGGGAAUUCCUGGUGUAGCGGUGAAAUGCGUAGAGAUCAGGAAGAACAUCGGUGGCGAAGGCGCUCUGCUGGACCAUAACUGACACUCAGGGACGAAAGCUAGGGGAGCGAAUGGG
rnacentral:rRNA from 1 species